rnacentral:rRNA from 1 species
GACGAACGCUGGCGGCGUGCUUAACACAUGCAAGUCGAACGUAAAGGCCCUGCUUUUGUGGGGUGCUCGAGUGGCGAACGGGUGAGUAACACGUGAGUAACCUGCCCUUGACUUUGGGAUAACUUCAGGAAACUGGGGCUAAUACCGGAUAGGAGCUCCUGCUGCAUGGUGGGGGUUGGAAAGUUUCGGCGGUUGGGGAUGGACUCGCGGCUUAUCAGCUUGUUGGUGGGGUAGUGGCUUACCAAGGCUUUGACGGGUAGCCGGCCUGAGAGGGUGACCGGCCACAUUGGGACUGAGAUACGGCCCAGACUCCUACGGGAGACAGCAGUGGGGAAUAUUGCACAAUGGGCGGAAGCCUGAUGCAGCAACGCCGCGUGCGGGAUGACGGCCUUCGGGUUGUAAACCGCUUUCGCCUGUGACGAAGCGUGAGUGACGGUAAUGGGUAAAGAAGCACCGGCUAACUACGUG